rnacentral:rRNA from 1 species
AGCCGCCGCGGUAAUACCCGCGCCACGAGUGGUGAUCGCGAUUAUUGGGUCUAAAGCGUCCGUAGCCGGUUUAGUGAGUUCUUGGUGAAAUCUACUAGCUAACUAGUAAGCUUGCUGAGAAUACUGCUAAACUUGGGAUUGGGAGAGGAUAGAGGUAUUCCAUGAGUAGGGGUUAAAUCCUUUAAUCCAUGGAGGACCACCGGUGGCGAAGGCGUCUAUCUGGAACAAGUCCGACGGUGAGGGACGAAAGCUAGGGGAGCAAAUGGGAUUAGAUACCCCAGUAGUCCUAGCUGUAAACGAUGCCCGCUUGAUGUUGCAGGCUCUACGGGAGCUUGCAGUGUUGGAGUGUAGAUGUUAAGCGGGCCACCUGGGGAGUACGGCCGCAAGGCUGAAACUUAAGGGAAUUGGCGGGAGAGCACACAAGAGGUGGAGACUGCGGUUUAAUUGGAUUCAACGCCGAAAAUCUCACGAGGGUUGACAGCAGAAUGAAGGUCAAUCUAAAGGGUUUACCAGACAAGCUGAGAGGAGUUGCAUGGCCAUCGUCAGCUCGUACCUUGAGGCGUGCGGUUAAGUCCGUUAACGAGCGAGACCCACACUACCAUUUACCACUGCACUUUCAGACCUUUCAGGUCAAAAGAGUGCAAGUACUAUGGCAGGACCGCUGGUGAUAAACCAGAGGAAGGAGUGGGCGACGGUUGGUCCGUAUACAUCUGUAAGUAUAAAUCGCAAUUUGAGUCUUUUUUAAAGAUAAUGAUAGUUAUUUCCACGUGGAGCAAGAAAAUUGUAGAGUUAUAUUUUAGAUGGCGGAAGGCCCGAAUAUCCUCGGCUACACGCGGUCUACAAUGGUUGGGACAAUGCGUUGCAACACCGAAAGGUGAAGCCAAUCGCCUAAACCCAACCUCAGCUCAGAUUGAGGGUUGUAACCCACCCUCAUGAAGUCGGAAUCUCUAGUAAGCGAACGUCAUAAUCGUUCGCUGAAUGCGUCCCUGCUCUU